UCAAAAACAAGCAAGAAUUUGAAACAGUGCCAAUAUAUUCAAAAUCAGCACGAACAUAAACGAGAAUAAGGAAUCUGAAACCUGGAAAAACCAAAAGAUCAAAGAGAAACCAAAAAAUGAAGAACAAAAUCAAUUAAUUACCAGCAUAUGAGACUUCAUGUAAAUAAUGCUACAAUUUUUACCAUAAUUAUACAAAAAUCAGAUAAUACACCUCCAAACAAUCAUAUUCACGUAUAAAAUCCCAAGCUUAAAAAAAUUCGACAGUUCAGCUGUAAAUCUAUAAAAAUAUCCAACUUUCUUUUGGUGAUAUCUCAAAUUUUGACACCCACAAACAGAUCAUCAGACAAUUAAGCAAACCAAAAAAAACCCAGAAAGAAAAUUAACUGCAUCAAUUAUAGCACAAUAAAGAGAACUAAAAAAGUUACCAAAUUGAACCAAAAAACCGGCCAGACUACAAGGUACAAGACAAGUACAGGGCUUUUGUUGCAGCAGCUUUCUCUUACACUUAAAAUAUAAAAACCCAACAAGAAAGAUCAGACCUUUCCGGACUCUCUUUCUCUCUCUCUCUCUCUCUGUGAUGGAGGUGAGGUGUUGGUCUUAGAAGUUCUCUGGCUUUCUCUUUUUUGUAGGAAC
rnacentral:lncRNA from 1 species